UACGGAGGGAGCUAGCGUUGUUCGGAAUUACUGGGCGUAAAGCGCACGUAGGCGGCUUUGUAAGUUAGAGGUGAAAGCCCGGAGCUCAACUCCGGAACUGCCUUUAAGACUGCAUCGCUUGAAUCCAGGAGAGGUGAGUGGAAUUCCGAGUGUAGAGGUGAAAUUCGUAGAUAUUCGCAAGAACACCAGUGGCGAAGGCGGCUCACUGGUCCGGUACUGACGCUGAGGUGCGAAAGCGUGGGGAGCAAACAGG
rnacentral:rRNA from 1 species